AUCGUUUGACAAUUAAUCUAGAAGUGCUGGAAUGCUAUAUCAGCUGUAAAAACUUUUGAGAUUAUAAAUGAUCAUAUUUUGAGAUUAUUUUUUUGUUUAUUUGAAUCUCAAGAGGGAAAUCAAAAGAUUUUGCUAUGAUAAGUAACCAUUUCACUCAUAAGAAGUAAUUUACUUAGAAGUUCCCUGUUACAUUGAAAACAAGAGGAAUAUAGGAAAUCUACGAAUAAUUUUAUCACAUUCUUUUCCAUAUGAAACGAAAGGUCUUUACUAUUUGUUGAAUUUCUCAUUGUCUGUUGUCUACAAGUUAAAUCAGAGGUUCCUACUUGCUUCUGUAAACCAGCCUGUAACCUAAAAGGUAUUUGAUUUGAAGGUAUACUGAUAAUUCAAUUCUCCUAAAUGGAGGAAAAGACCACUCGAAAGAAGAUACUGAAAAUGGAACAUCCUUGUUCAGAUGUUCCAACUUGCCCCUGGAUAGUAGCCAAUAGUCUGAAAAUAGAUAGUCGACCAUAGAAAACUGACUGGUUGUAUAUGGGUGGAAAUCUACUUGACCAUGCAAAAAGUUGACAAAUGUCCUGGUAAUGAGAAAAAAAAACUAAAGAUAUUUAGCAAAUGUGUUUUACUAAGCACUAUUGUGUGAUGUAUUAGAAACUCCUGAAAUAGCAUCAUACAUCUGUGAUUGAAAUCAAUUAACCAAAGUAAUGAUGAAUCAACUGGGAAAAGUAUUCAUCCUGAAACUGAUUCAACUAAACAUAGGUAGCUGAAGUACUGAACAAGGAUGGACGAUGGUCCUGAAGGAAACCAUACAAAACUUUUGGCAAUUUACAGGUUGAUAGCUUCUUAUGAAUUACUAUAUGUUGACAUUUAUUUAAAAAAACAGCAACAGACUGCCUAUUAUGGAGAUUAAUGAAAAAUUUUCUGUUGCAAAAGUGUCUAAAUCUAGAAAUCUUUGUUUUCUGGAUGUCUAUGCAAGUUCAAUGCUUUUUUAAUCUGACAUUGUGGAAGAAACUACUGCUGCUGAUGAAUAGUGCCAUUGAAUAUAGUCGCAUCAUUGAUUAGUUAGUUAACCUCCACCGGAACUGUUAUCUUGUUGACUUCCAUUGAUUCUAUUUGCCGAAAUAGUAGAUCUGGUGGGAUUAAGAGGAAAACGACAAUGUUGGAGAUCUCGUAUUCCAGAAAAUAUUAUAAAUUCGGGUCUCUGAAAAGUACAGCUAGUGAGCACCUUCCCAUUGAAUUUCGUGUAUCAAACAGUUGGAAGUUACCAGAUUUUUUUAAUCGUUCUGUAGUCAGAAGUAUGAGAGCCCGAAAAGAGUGGCAACCCUGUUUCGUACAGAGAACAAGGAAUUAAGGUGUUCCAGUUUGAAAUUGUGAAAGUUUAUUGUCUUGUUGGAUGCCUAUGUUUCAAACCAAAUGUAUCUGCUUGACAAGUGAAUAUUAUACUGAACCCUUCAGUUGAUGUUCUACUGCCCAACAUGCAUGGGAAGUAUUAGUUUCUCAGUUUAACCAAAUGAUUGCUCAGUUGUUGUUUGCAACUGAGGCUUUUUUUUUUUUACCCUUUAGGAAAUGCUUACAAGAUGUGUUAUCGACCGUAUAUCUUAUACAAUAAGAAGAUUUGCAAUUACUGUGGCCUGGCGAAAGUAAUUGGGAAGUAUGCUCCAUAAAGAACUUAUGUCAUGUAAGAUUAAUCAGCAAUAAUUUGGUAAUAACUUCUCUCUGUUGUCUUCGUCCCCCAGGAAGGUUUUUUUGUACGACGUCCAGUAUUAGCUGUUCACAAAAUAGAUUGAUUCCAACAAGAUGGCUAUUGCAAAACGGGAUUUUUUUUUCUUUUAAAUGGAGAGUUCUAGCUAUCUUGGAAAGACUAUCAAAGAAGCCAUUAUGCAGCAUUCGUGCUAUGCUUUGUUCAACGCAUUUGGAAACGAAUUUUGUGAUGACUAAUACAACAAUUAACAAGAGUUCAUAGGGUCGUAAUGAAGCUCGGAAAUGAUUUUAAUGGAUCUUUGGGGCCAAAAUAAUGGAUAGGAGUUGGAGGGACGACCGAAAAUAUCCUUGUAUUUAUUAUUUUCUCUAUUUGUUGUGGUACUGUGGCAGACAUAUUGGAGUUCAUUUGUGGGGUUCCCUAGUUUUCUGUGGCCCUAUUUCCCGUGAUAACACUUGUGAUAAUAAGCCCGUAGCGGGUUAUGGCAACACUAUGAUCAGCACGAGAAGGUUGGGAGUGCGCUGUCUAGAAGGUGAGUGUGGGUCGUUAACUAUGAGAUUAUUGGAGGGCUACGGUGUAACCCGAAAACACAACGGGUAAUCAACCCGUCGAUUAGGUUAAUGGAGGGUUAUGGAGCUAUUCGAAAACAUAACAGGUAAUAUACCCGUCGGGGCAAUUGAGUUGGUGUAACCGUAUGUCUUGCUGGGCUACUAUGUUGUUUGUAAAUGUCUGAUAAACUGCAAUAAAAUAAUUUCAAAAGA